UCUCCUGAGGCAAGUGUGUCAAGGGAAGAGAUGAUGGUGCUGGUGGGUCCUCACUGAUAGCUGCUGGCAGCCCUCUCCCCAGUGUACCUGCAGAGCGCAAUUUGUGCAAGUUAAACAGUUUAUACAAGUGACCUAAGACAAUUUCGUAACUUUUUCACAUUUUUCAAUUGCUAGCAGGCCACAGGAGUUUGCAAACAUUCGAUAAGAGCUGUUGCUAAAUGCCUUUGGAAAAACAUUCUCUUCCAUUGCUAUAGACCUCUGCUCCAGCCUCCGCUUAUCACCUUUUCUAUGGUGACAGGAAAAAAACGAAGGGCUUGUGGACAUGACUGCACGUAACCCAGACACGGUGGCUGAAGGAGCCACCCAUCCCCAGGGUGACGUGGGAUGUGCUAAUUAAACCAGAUCUGCCGGUCCCAGCCCCUACCAGGGACAUCUGCCAGGGCUGCUGCAAUAACAGGAUAAGUGCUGGGGAAAGGCUCUUUGGUGGUAUUGGCAAAGUUUGCCUGGAUUUUCAUGGAAUAAAAGGCCACGUUUCUGCAGCAGAAGCUGUCAGCAGGCAAAUCCGAAAUCCCCACUUCAAAUCAGAGGUUGCUGAAGCUGCCAGAAGAGGAUCUUGGUAUUUUGCAUCAGGCAGAGGAGAAACGGAGAUGUUUUUUUGUUCAGCCAGAAACAGGCAAACUAUCUUGGCUGAAGCUGUUGGAGAAGGAGUGUGGGGGGAAAACCGGCUGAUAACAGAUGCUCGUUGUGCAAAAUUUAAUUCCAAGUUGUUAAACAACUGUAAGCAGAACUUUUCUAGCUUAUAUAGUUGGCGCUAUUGCUUUGUAUUCAUCAAACAAUAAUUGCUAAUAGUGUGUGCCUUCUGUUCUCUCUGUAUGCCCUUCAUUCAGUUCAAAUUUCUAACAGCACAGCAAUGCUGUCAAAUAUGAAGUGCAGCAGCUGAAAGACAAAGAGAGCAUCCUUGGUGGCACGAUUUUCAUGCAAAUACCGUGCUCAGGGGACUAAUUGCAAAGUUCACUUACCUGAAAGAUGGAAAACCGCUUGGCAAACAAAUGUCUUCACCGGGCCAGAACGUUCAAGGGCCACGUUAGAAAUGCAGUCCAAACAAACUGAAGAUGUGAAUUGAAAAGCUGAGCAUCAUCCAGGGAGAGGACGGAGCCCUCUGAGCUGCUUGCCAUGCAGAAGGAACUCUGCAUGGCUUACUGGUAGCACAAUGAUCCGGUGAGGCUGGGACAGCAUUUUAAGGAACAAUCUAGGCUAACAGUCUGCAAAAUUACAACAGGUUUGCUUGCUUUAAACAGGAUUUGAGAAAAUAAUAUUUUAAACAUGGAUUCCAGCUUGGUCCAUAGGGACCAACAGAACUUCAGCCUCACAAGGAAUAUGGAAAGAAGUAACUAGUUCCUACAAGACUUCCAUGUUAGCAAGAGUCUAACUCUUUUUUUUUUUUUUUUGGCAGCCAGACUACAUAGAUAUAAAACUUUAAUACUCUUGAAAUCUCAUGAGGCUUAAAUAGUCUCACUGGUGAUAUGUAUCUAGCUAGGCGGAGGAUGAUAAAUCAAGCUAUGAAGUUCUUUUUUUUCUUCACUGAAGAGAUUUUACUAGAAAAAAGGAUUCCCAAAAGCUUUCCUCCACUGAGACUUGAAAGCAUUUGAACCUUGUAUUUGUCAUUUGGCCAUAAGAAUGGUAAUGUAUCUAAAGCCCAGGUAAAGGUGGAUUUCUUCUGCUAUUUCUUUUAUUUUGCCUUCAUUUUUUCAGGUGUAUUGUCAGCUUUUUCACAAAGCAGUAAAAGUGGUUUCCUUUAGAGUUUUGUACCCCCAUUCCAGAAAUAUAAAGAAAAAUACCCUUGUAUAUCUGUUUAGAUAGCGAGAUGAUGCAGGCAGUAAAAAAAUAAAUCAUGAGGAGCACUUUAUGGACUGAGGCCACUGAUAAAUACUACUUCUAGACAGACAAGAUGGGAAGGAGAGAAGUUUAAAUGGAAUACUGCAUUUUUCAGUAUGUUUUGAAGGUAACAAUAUUCAAGGCUUGAUAGUUUUCUUAAAAAGACACCAGUGAAGAUCUCACUACCAUUUGGCUUCCUGAACAUGUUGUGUGCGUAUGCCCAUCUUUCUCACUGUUGCAUUUAGCUAGCGUUUUGGUAACAGGACUAGAAAGCCUGAUGGAGUACAUUACUUACGGGGCACUUUAGUUAUACAGAAACAACGGCUUUAAAGGAAUACCAAAUGUUCUCCUAACAUUACAGGAGAACAUUUCUAGAGCUAAAAAUCUCAUUUGUGUGGCCUUUUGCAAAUGGGAGAGUAAACAGCACUGCAUGCUAGAACACCCGUUACACAAUUCAUCCAGGGACACAGCCCCUGUCAUAGAAUCACAGAAUGGUUUGGGUUGGAAGGGACCUCAGAGAUCAUCUAGUUCCAACCCCCCUGCCAUGGGCAGGGACACCCUCCACUAGACCAGGUUAUAAAUUUAAUUAUACAUAUGUGUUUAUAAAUACGUGAAUGUCAGAAGAUAAUAACAGAUACCAAAUUCUUUCUCCCUUUUCUCUGUGGGGGUGAUGAUGUUGAGGGAGGUGGCCAAGAGGAAAGAUUGUCAGAUGUAGGGCUGCAAGUGUUACAGCUCCCCUAGUCUGUAAAUAUCUUUUAGACCUAACCAUAACAGAGUGUGUAAUGCAGCUUCUGAAAGCAGAUGACUGAAGGCACCCUGAAAGCGCUCUGUACCCCUUCCCACCGGAGGGGGAGACUGAUGACUUGCUAUGUUCCUUGGACUCCAACAAAAUGAAAGUGGGUUAAGCUUUAGUUAGGAAAGAGCAAUUAGCAGUUCCUAGAGGUAAUUAUAAUUUUAAAUUUAUAACAGCAAUUUUAUUUUUCCACUUUUUAGAAGCAAAAUAUUAUCCUACCUCUCUAGUAUUCUGCUAUUUACAAAGCAGGAUGAUAUACAAAGAUGAUUUACAUACGAUAUACUCCUCCGCUGCAGCUUCUUCCCAGCCUGUGAGAUGUUUUGUUUGCUAUGAAGUACGUGGAGGGUGCCACUACGACUGCGUAUCCUGCUGCUUUCAGCAAGUGUGCUCACCCACCUGCUUUCUUGCAACUCCGCAGGAGAAAGACGAGUUGUGAAAAUGACAACGGUGCACUCCAUGUAAGCACAGGAUGAGAAACAUUUUAUUUAUAACCCUGUCAUAUUGGUGCUACCCUAACCAAAAAUGAGCUUGAAAGUAAUCCCGACUGGUUUCUCUGGAUUCUCCAGUUUCUUGAAAUGCAAUGCAUAAACCAGAGGUUUGUACUUUGCUUUGAGACAGUCAUAGCAUCACGGAGAAAUCGUGAAGGUCAGCUGCACUGUGGACAACUCCACAUCCAUCUGUGUCUUUUAAAUUAUACUCGUCUCUCUCCCUUAUUGCCAGUUUUGGUCUGUCUCCGUUUUUCUCAUACAGGUCUGGAAUGGUUGCCAAAGGGCCAGACAGAAUCAUUACGCUGACUUUGCUAAGACUUCCUCUGACUCCUGGAAUUGUAGCAUUUAUUCUCAGCUAGGGAGCACUAUAUUGAGGCCUGACACAACUGCCAAAGUAUGACAUGGGCACUUAGUGCAAGAACUAUGGUACCGACAGCUUUACAGACAACUUAAAAAAUUUCUGUUCUGAUGUCUCAAAGGGACCAAGCAACCAGAGAUCUGAUUUCCAAAUGCAGCUCUUUCACACAGCCCUUGAAAUACGUUAUAUUUCUGUCUACGGUAGGAAGUCCUGGGUACUGAAAAAAACCUGCAAAUAAAUCUGGUUGCAAAUACAAAAUUCUUAGUCUGUUUUCUCAAGCCGAAGCCAAACAUACAC